GAGUUUGAUCGUGGCUCAGAAUGAACGUUGGCGGCGUGGAUUAGGCAUGCAAGUCGAACGAGAAGCCUCCUUCGGGAGGUGGACAGUGGCAAACGGGGUAGUAGAGCGUAGGCGACGUACCCUGGGGACCAGGAUAGCUACGGGAAACUGUAGGUAAUACUGGAUGACCUCUUUUCGCAUGAUCGCGGGAAGAGCAAAGGUGAGAUUCCACCCUGGGAGCGGCUUGCGUAGUAUUAGCUAGUUGGUGAGGUAACGGCUCACCAAGGCGACGAUGCUUAGGGGGUGUUAGCGCAUGACCCCCACACUGGGACUGAGAUACUGCCCAGACACCUACGGGUGGCUGCAGUCGAGGAUCUUCGGCAAUGGGCGAAAGCCUGACCGAGCGACGCCGCGUGCGGGAUGAAGGCCCUUGGGUUGUAAACCGCUGUCAGAGGGAUGAAAUGCCAGAGAGUUCUCUCUUUGGUUGACAUAGCUACAGAGGAAGCACGGGCUAAGUUCGUG
rnacentral:rRNA from 1 species